rnacentral:lncRNA from 1 species
UGGUCCUUAAAAGCCCAGAAUCUGAAUCUUGAAAUUCUUUUUUUUUUUGUUUUUUGUUUUUCUGGAAAAAGUUCAGGAAAGAGGUUUUAUUAUCCUCCUUUGCUUUCUUGCUGUUUUUGGCCCACUCAGUGGCUCCGAAGCAGUUCCUCAAAGCGAGUGGGGACAAAAUAUAAUCUCUUAAAAUAUUUUUAAGAGGACGGGCAGGCUUGGUAUUUGUAAAAAUACGUCAACAAAAUGUGCUAACCACAAUUUUUUUUUUUUUUUUUUUUUUUUUUAAGUUGUCAAAGAAGCCAAAGGGAUUCGUUAAGCGGACGGGCUGUUUUAGAACGGAGACGUUCGGAGACAAUAAUGACUAAGGUCAUUUUGGCUGAUGUUUACUGAGCUGAUGGCCGUGUGCCAGGCACCGUUUUAAGGUUUGGUUGUGAUUAGCUCCUGUAACCUUCCAGAGCGGGCCCCGUGCAGCGGGCGGCGAUGUUCUUCCCAUUGUACAGGUGAGGCAGGCAAGUCGAGUCAGCAGGCUGAGGUUUCCCAGCAGCUGAGCUGGGAGCCAGGGUUUGGGUCUAAGCUGGCUCUGAGGACCGUGUUUGAUUCAGUUCCGGUUUCUGAGAAAAUCUGCAUGUUCGUUUUUGGGAGCUGCUGAGCCGAAGAAGCCCAUUGGCUGUGAGUGAAAUAGUGGGGUAGCUGGCUUUGGGUCCAUCGCACUACGGAGGACCAAGGCAGACGGCUAAUCUUCAGUGUAGACUCCUGAUUUCUUGGUCACUCUAUACCUCCCAGGGGCGUGGCUCUAACCUUAAUCUCCUCUCCAGUAUUUUCCCCAAACCCCAGCAUCCUGUUUGAGGGUGUGGCUGGAGAGCUGUGGUCGGGAGACAGGGGCUCAGCCACCUGGCACGCUUCCCUGGAGCCACUCACCUCUGACCCUCUUCUUUAGGUGCCUCUCCGGUCUCGCUUGACCUCCAGUUUGGAGAAGGUGUCCAAAGAACCCUGAAAGGCAGUAUUGUUCCGAGCCAGGUGGGCUGGCAAACUCCGAGAGAAGUCUCCAGGCUCCAGACGCUGCCUCCACUUCUGAAAGGUGAUUUCUGCGAUUUAUUUUUAUCGUCUAUUAUUGCGAUGUUUUAUAGAGGGCUUAAAAUUUCGAGAGGACUUGAGUGGGAUCAAGAAACUUACUGGAAGGAGAGUUGUGUGGCUUUCCCUGGAGUUGUUGGGUGAUCCGUCCUUAAUUUAGUGCAUUCAGUCGUGUUAAAAGGGCUGCCCUGGUUUCCUUCUCAAAUGUCCUUUGUAGUUAGCAGGAGCUGGCAAGGUUCGCCUUAACUUUUUCAUUUUCUUUUCCUGCUGACUCCUCACUGCAGUUUUUCAGGUUUUCCUGCUCUGAACACUGCAUUCUUUUAAGUCGAGUGUCUAUGUUGGCUCCAUUUCAGCUCCAAGGAUUUACGUACAGUUUCCAAAACUGUUUUUCUGUGAUAGUUCCACA